GGCAGCAGUGAGGAAUAUUGGUCAAUGGGAGAGAUCCUGAACCAGCCAAGCCGCGUGAGGGAAGACGGCCCUAUGGGUUGUAAACCUCUUUUGUCGGAGAACAAAACCCGGGACGUGUCCCGGACUGCGUGUAUCCGAAGAAAAAGCAUCGGCUAACUCCGUGCCAGCAGCCGCGGUAAUACGGAGGAUGCGAGCGUUAUCCGGAUUUAUUGGGUUUAAAGGGUGCGUAGGCGGUCUGUUAAGUCAGCGGUAAAAUUGCGGGGCUCAACCCCGUCGAGCCGUUGAAACUGGCAGACUUGAGUUGGCGAGAAGUACGCGGAAUGCGCGGUGUAGCGGUGAAAUGCAUAGAUAUCGCGCAGAACUCCGAUUGCGAAGGCAGCGUACCGGCGCCAGACUGACGCUGAGGCACGAAAGCGUGGGGAUCGAACAGGAUUAGAUACCCUGGUAGUCCACGCAGUAAACGAUGAAUGCUGGUUGUCCGGGUCGAAUGA
rnacentral:rRNA from 1 species